CCAAAUCUGGGUCUUAGCUUUGUAGAGGAAGGUACCCUAUCUUUAGGUUUAGUAACACUUUAUAUUUUUAGUUUCUAGGCUGCUGUGUAAUUUUCUUAGCAAAUCUUCACUGUGAUUCUGGCUGAUAAUUUUCCUGGAACUAUAACUAAAUAAUUGGACUGCAACUUAAUCAUAAAAUUGCCUAAAUCAGUAGUUUCCAAAUUUUUUGCUUCAUAGACCAGUAAACUAUUUUUUAAGAUGCAAGAGAUACACAUGGAGUCACCAAUAGUUAGUUUUGCCAAGUGAAAAUGCAUUAGGAAAUCAACUACCAACAGUCUACACGAGAAAAGAUAUUUUAACCCUGAAAAGAUGGGCAUAGUCUCAGAAUAAAAUGUGGUCUCAUACUGAUCGAUUUUAACUUUUUAGGAAACUUUCUAUCUUGUCCUCCUCUUUCAGGUGUCACCCCCCCCACCCCCAGAAAAAAUGAAAAAGUUGUCACCAACUGGUGACAUUUGCCACUGGUGAAUUGCCACUUGGGAACCAAAAGGUGAAGUGUAAGAAUGGAAAAGGUCUUGCUCUUGAGACAACAGAAUUUCAUGCUUAAGAGACGUAGGGAAUAAGUUAUGGGUUCUGUAGGUAGGAAAUAGCAUCCCAAUUGUUAAAAAUUUUGGCUGCACUGGGUCUUCAUUGCAGUUUCCAGGCUCAAUAGUUGUGGCACUUGGGAUUUUCUAGUUGAGGACCGUGGGUUUACUUGCUCCACAGCGUAUGGGAUCUUGGUUCCCCAACCAGGGAUUGAACCAUGUCCCCUGCAUUGGAAGGUGGAUCCUUAACCACUGGACCACCAGGGAAGUCACAAUCCCAAUGUAUUUAUCUCUGUUCUUGUUCGGGGGCUCAUCCCCUUCUUGACUCUUAGUACUGACCACAGCAAGGGGCAAUAAAUAACAAGCAUCAAAAAAUGGAAAGGCCAGAUACACACACACACACACACACACACACACCCUCUAAGUUACAUAAGUAUGUUUAAGUAGUUCUCCUCCUGCCAAGUGGGUUUGUAAUCUCAGUUAGAAAAAGAUUUCAAUAUUCCUCUGUCACCUGAUGGUAAUUUGGGCUUUAUGUUCACACAGAUAUAUAACUCGGAUAUUUCCAAGUCUGACCUCUGAGACCUUCUUUCUCUCUCGUAAGGCUGGAGUCCUAAUGCAUCAUCAGAACUCAACAUUAUCCCUGAGGAUUUGGGAGGAGUUCCAUUUCUCAUAAAGCAUUUCUUGCCACAAGUAGGUUCAGGGAGGUCUGGCUCCUAUAGUCAAUUGGGUUCCCUUGGACCCCAGAGAUUCCCUUCAGGCUACUGCAUGGGAGCUCGGAGCCUCCCCUUCACAUGACGGGAAGACGGCCCCGAUUGUGGUCAGCAGAAAGCAGAAGAGAGGCCGUGCAUCCCCUUCGGUGUUGGUCAACCAGGUCAGAGAAACAUCCCCAUCAAGCAGCGAUGCAACAGGCCUCUCGAAGCAACUCUUGAGCAUGGUCUAGAGAUAGCAACUGCUUUUCACUGAUCCAUGACGAGAUGAUGAUCAUCAGCAAGGACAAUGUACUGAACUUUCUUAAGACUGAAUAUUUCAUUUAAAGGAUUAUCAGUGGAGAGUAUACCCUUCCUCUCUUUUUGUCAUUAAAAUACCUAUUCGUGUAUGAAA